rnacentral:rRNA from 1 species
AGAGGAAGUAAAAGUCGUAACAAGGUUUCCGUAGGUGAACCUGCGGAAGGAUCAUUAAUGAUUACGAAUGGUUGCCGUCUGUGCUGGCCAGAACUGGCAAGUGCACGGCGGUGGCUUUCAUCCAAUACCCCUGUGAACCUUUGGCCUCUUGCUAGCUUCGGCCGGCAGAGGAAUUUUACACAAACUCGAAUGUAAUGAAAUAUAUUGUCGUGCGCAAGCACUAAUGUACAACUUUCAACAACGGAUCUCUUGGCUCUCGCAUCGAUGAAGAACGCAGCGAAAUGCGAUAAGUAAUGUGAAUUGCAGAAUUCAGUGAAUCAUCGAAUCUUUGAACGCACCUUGCACCCUUUGGUAUUCCGAAGGGUAUGCUCGUUUGAGUGUCAUUGUACUCUCACACUCCCGAUCUUGGUUGGGAGCGGUGGACUUGGGUGCUGCUGCUUACCGUGGCUCACCUCAAAUGGAUUCGUGCAUCUCUUGGUUGGACAUAGUACGGCGUGAUAAGUGUCUUCGCCGGCGCCUCACUUUGAGGGUGGCCGAUCGGGAGCUCUGUGCUUCUAACCGUCCUCGGACAACAACUGACAACUUGACCUCAAAUCGAGUAGGACUACCCGCUGAACUUAAGCAUAUCAAUAAGCGGAGGAAAAGAAACUAACAAGGAUUCCCCUAGUAACGGCGAGUGAAGAGGGAAGAGCUCAAAUUUUGAAUCUGGCGUCUUUGGCGUCCGAAUUGUAAUCUAGAGAAGUGUUUUCCGUGACGGACCGUGCAUAAGUCUCCUGGAAUGGAGUGUCAUAGAGGGUGAGAAUCCCGUAUAUGGCACGGACUCCCGUUGCUCUGUGAUACACUCUCGACGAGUCGCGUUGUUUGGGAAUGCAGCGCUAAAUGGGUGGUAAAUGCCAUCUAAAGCUAAAUAUUGGCGAGAGACCGAUAGCGAACAAGUACCGUGAGGGAAAGAUGAAAAGCACUUUGGAAAGAGAGUGAAACAGUACGUGAAAUUGUUGAAAGGGAAACGCUUGAAGUCAGUCGCGCCGUUCGGGAUUCAGCCUUGCUUCUGCUCGGUUUACUUCCCGUUGGGUGGGUCAACAUCAGUUUCGAUCGGAGGAGAAAGACUUGGGGAAGGUGGCAGCAUUCGUGCUGUGUUAUAGCCCCGUGUUGUAUACUUCGACUGGGACUGAGGACCGCAGCACGCCUCUGGCCGGGGUUCGCCCACGUACGUGCUUAGGAUGUUGGCAUAAUGGCUUUAAGCGACCCGUCUUG